AGGAGCGACGGAGACAAGGAGAGGAGGGAGGGAAAAAGACAGAAAGAUCAGGAAGGGUCUGCUUUUUUUUUUAAACUGUGAUGUAACUGCUUACAGGUAAAGGUGGGAGGUAAACCAAGGGGAUGCUGGGAAUGUAUGGCUAUUACCAUGGCAACAAGUGCGUGCAUGCGUCCCUGUCACCUAUGGAUGACAUCGCCACUGGUUUCAGAGGCAACAGCAAGUGUAAGGCUUGGCGAAAGCUGUUGUCCACACGAUAUCUUAUAGAACUAACGCUUACGGAACGAGGAAGCAAGGAAAGCUGUACCAACAGAUGAACCAGACAUGGCAGACGUGUAUCUGCUAAAAGAUACUUUCUUCCUAAUCCACAGUUUUCAAAUACUCCUGUCCGGAAAGUACUGUCAACAUGGUGUCCACACCCAGGGCCAAUAUGCAUCAGAAGGCAGAAUUCCUGCCCCAGCCCCAACCCCACCAGUCCUACACAGGCCUGGUUGCCUUGCUUUCCUUCUCCAGGCUGCAGAGAGGGAGGGCAGUAUGGCUCCGAAGGAAAUCAGAGAAGAGAUGUUCACCCAUGGCUGGGGCCAGUUCUUAACCUUAGAUUGGAAAAAAGGAAAGAAGAGGGGGAGAAAUCAGGGUGCACCUCUGAGAUAAAGACCACGAGGACAAUAGUGGAGCAAACGAAGUACUUCAUACAGAAAUGCCAAGGGAGACCUGGCCUCAGCGUCCCUGGAUGGCUAGCGGGUGGUGGUUGCUCCCUAACCAUGCGGUAAAGCAGAGGUGCGAAUCUCGGAUUUCUAACAGAAAGCUCACUCCCUUGUAGCUCCACAACUAGUGGUUUCUUUGUGAGUCAUAGUUUGUGCUUAUAGAAAUAUUCACAGACAAAAUAUCGUAGAAGGUUAGCGUUUGAAGAAUAAAACCUUCAUCCUCCCUCUACCACUUCAUCCUUUAGAACUUUUGACACCUAAAACAUCAAAAGCUGGAUUUCAUUCUGCUUUUCUAGGGUCGAAGUAAAGAAGUUCACAUUUCAUACUGCAUAAGUAGCCUGAAGAAUUUGUAUGAAAUAAACAUUUUGUUAUAAUCAACAACUUCUUUUAAAGAACAGAACACUUCCGCUACCUCAGAUACGUCUCCUCGCUUUAUCCCAGGAAACAACUGGAAGGCAGUCAUUCUGUCCGUUCCAGUCUUGAACAGCUGUAUAUGCUUCUGUCCUUAGGAGAAGAAAAUCAUUUAUUCUAGGUUCAGCAUUCUCUACUCAGCCACAAAUCAUCAUCCAAGCAUGGGCCUUCUCUCUGUGAAGAGUCCGUGUAAGAAGUGACAUAGAAAGUCUUCAGCUUGUAAGGGGAUUGAGCACUUGCUGUGGGAAAAAAAUCGCAAACCCCUCAGAAAUUAGCAUUUCCAAGUGGAACUAUCGUGGGAAACUUCAGAAAACAAAACAAACAAACAAAAGAAGUGAAAUUAUGAAGGAGUUCAGUGGAACUCCGAGGUAUUUUUCCUAGAAGGUUCUCAGUUCCUUUUCCUAACGAGGCUCACAGCUCUGUUGAGUAGAUUGUUGAGCAGAGAACGAAGCCAUCGCCAUAUUUUCUCAGCCACAGAAAAGGUACCUAAAGGAGAACAUUGUGUAACUUGGACAGAAAUGAAAUCCACCGAUACCCUACCAAUUCCAAUUGGCGCCUCAGACAACUGAGUACAGGUGGAGAGAGAUUAUCUUAGGUUAGGAGGAAGAGCCACACCAAACUUCAACAUACAGGGAAGACUCAGUCAGUCUCGACAAUGAGCAAAAGAAAUUCACACAAAACAGCACAUCUGGAGAGAGAGUGAAACUGACAGACUUCUCUGGAAAUACACCCAUGGAAUCGACCGAGGACUCUGACGGAGUUGUCCAAUAGCCACGUUUACUAUGGCCAAGGGGAUAGGGAAACGACGAGUGCUCUGUCUCUGCUUCCUCUUACUUGAAGCAAUCAUUAAGAGAGUCUCUGUCAGUCACCCUGCAAAAGCAAAGACUCCAAACGGUUGAUCCCCAGUUGCCACUUUUCUCUGCUCUAAGUCCACAAGCCAUGAGGCCUCAGCUUGGGAACAAGCAAUGAACAGCAGCAAAGCCUCAAGUAACCACCCCCAACCUUGUCCCAACCUUACUUCCCGUCCCAUGGUACGUAUAGUCUCAAGAACUUUCGAAGGGUCUCUGUUAUACAUCCGGGUUUCACAUGGAGAGAAAUCAGCAGGCCAAGGCUCAUUUAAAGGCUAUUUACGUAAAGCUGACUCUCCCCUCCUGUUGAAAGUUUGGACUUCUGACUGAGUCUUACCAUGUCUUGGAUGAGCCUUAUCAUCCAAGCCUUCGAUACACUUGGUAGCUCUUCAACACUGGCGGUUGUUGCUGUUUUCACUUCUGUGUUCCUUCACCAGCCUGUACAACAGAUCCCUUUGUUUUCUGAUGCUUUAUUCAUAUGGGUACAAACUGUCUCGACAGCAAUCGUUUUCCAUGGUAAGAAUGCAUCUGCUUCACAAGUUACUUCACUGACCUGAAUGCUGACACGAACACAUCCGCCUGGCCCAGCAGGAAGCAGAAGAAAGGACUUUUCAGACAUUAUCUUUCUCUGCCCCUGGAGAAAGCAGAGGACAAACCCAGAGGUUUGAAACAGGCGCCAUUUUGUAAAGUUAGGCCUGGCCUCUGGGAAAAUCAGCAAUAUAUUGGGAAACAGGUGUGACGUAAAAAAAAAUAGCUGCUUUCAUUUCCCAUAAAGCAGACAGGAUUGAAGCCACAGUUAGGGCCGUUAGUACGAAGGAAUGGAGAUCCAAAUAAACCAGUGUUUGCAAAGCCCUGAGUUCACUCCAUGACACCUCAACAAGAAGAUACAACUUUUAAAUAAAAACUGCUGGCCAACUGCGAAUAGGAUGUCCGUGCACAGUGUACUCAACUGUGUAUUGUCUCAAUUUUACUGACACAUCACAACAGGGACGCAAGACAAAUGUUUUCUAUUUCAGACGAGUAAAGGUAAACUAUAUUCAGAUUUCUCCCCUCAGUGACUGUCCUCCUGGUGGGGUGACUUCAUGGAGGGCUUGUGUGUCAUGGUCUGUUUGUUUGCUCUGCCUCCGCCCACUCCUUCCCUCCCACUCGCUCCCAAACCCACCCUCAAGCUUCCACACAGCUGUGGAGGACAACUCAAAUAGAUAUAUUCUUAUUGAUGAUUUGAAUAAA